rnacentral:rRNA from 1 species
CGAAAGCCUGACGGAGCAAUACCGCGUGAGGGAGGAAGGCUUUUGGGUUGUAAACCUCUUUUUUCAAGGAAAAAGCAAGUGACGGUACUUGAAGAAUCAGCAUCGGCUAACUCCGUGCCAGCAGCCGCGGUAAUACGGAGGAUGCAAGCGUUAUCCGGAAUCAUUGGGCGUAAAGCGUCCGCAGGUGGUCAGUCAAGUCUGCUGUUAAAGACAGAAGCUCAACUUCUGAAAGGCGGUGGAAACUGGAGAACUAGAGUACGGUAGGGGUUGAGGGAAUUCCCAGUGUAGCGGUGAAAUGCGUAGAUAUUGGGAAGAACACCAGUGGCGAAGGCGCUCUGCUGGGCCAUAACUGACGCUCAUGGACGAAAGCCAGGGGAGCG